UACGAAGGGGGCGAGCGUUGUUCGGAAUUACUGGGCGUAAAGGGCGCGCAGGCGGCUCUGAAAGUCAGAUGUGAAAGCCCCGGGCUUAACCUGGGAACUGCAUUUGAUGCUCUAGAGCUUGAGUACGGGAGAGGAGAGUGGAAUUCCCAGUGUAGAGGUGAAAUUCGUAGAUAUUGGGAAGGACACCGGUGGCGAAGGCGGCUCUCUGGACCGUAACUGACGCUGAGGCGCGAAAGCGUGGGGAGCAAACAGG
rnacentral:rRNA from 1 species